rnacentral:tRNA from 1 species
GGAGGCGUCGCAUAGUGGUCUAGUGCGCUUGCUUGGAAAGCAAGUGUGUCUUAACCGGCACCGAGAGUUCGAAUCUCUCCGCCUCCG